rnacentral:rRNA from 1 species
CAGUCGCCGCGGUAAUACGUAGGUGGCAAGCGUUGUCCGGAAUUAUUGGGCGUAAAGCGUGCGCAGGCGGUUUGUUAAGACAGAUGUGAAAUCCCCGGGCUUAACCUGGGAACUGCAUUUGUGACUGGCAAGCUAGAGUCUGGCAGAGGGGGGUGGAAUUCCGCGUGUAGCAGUGAAAUGCGUAGAUACGCGGAGGAACACCGAUGGCGAAGGCAGCCCCCUGGGCCAACACUGACGCUCAUGCACGAAAGCGUGGGGAGCAAACAGGAUUAGAUACCCGCGUAGUCCCUGUCUCUUAUAC